rnacentral:ncRNA from 1 species
UGAAAAACGUAGAAAGAUCGAGUAUGUUAUAGUCCAUUUACGCUUACAGCGGCAAGAGAGGAAUUUCCUAGGCUGAGAGAAAUUCUAAAUGAAGGAUAACAGAAGGCUAGUCUUGAGUGCAGGUAAACCCUGUCGUUUUGUCCCGUUAUCGACACCCAAGUGAAAGGCAAGUUUUUUUGCCUUUAAUCAGGGUGGUACCGCGAGUAAGCCUCUCGUCCCUGGA